rnacentral:lncRNA from 1 species
UCCAUCUUCCCAAACAUGAUCUCAUUCUCAUGAUUAAUGCCAUCGGGAACCAAUGAAUGAAGCUUCUCAAAGACCACAAUGGCCAACAGGUCAUCGAGUGCUUCUCCAGUGGAUCCCAUCACUGCUCUCGCAACACAACACUACAGUCUUUCCAGCAAAUCACACAGUCUUCUCAUCAGAAUCCAUAUGACUCACUGCUGAACCUGAACAGGAAAACAAGAAGAUUUCUCAUCAUCUUCUCCCAGUAGAUGCCAUCACACCUCUUGCAAACACAUCAAGGAAAAGUAUCUAUGCAACUCUUUCCAAUGCAUCAGAAUCCAUAUGACUCACUGCUGAACCUGAACAGGAAAACAAGAAGAUUUCUCAUCAUCUUCUCCCAGUAGAUGCCAUCACACCUCUUGCAGACACAUCAAUGACAAGUAACUGUGUAUCUCUUUCCAAUGCAUCAGAA